AACUUCAUUUUUGAACUCCUUUAGUCCUUGCCAAGAAUUUUUUGAUAGCCUCUUCACAGCAAUUUCUCUGCCAUCCAUUAAUGUACCCUUAUAAACAGGUCCAAAACCUCCUUCUCCUAGCUUAUUGCUAAGUGAAAAUUUGUCGGUUGCAUGUGAUAUUAUGACAAAGUCAAAUAAUGGAAGUUCCAUGUCAUUGUCUGAGCAUUCACUUUGGUCAAUUUCAUCUUGCUUUUCUUUUUGAUCUAUUGACUUUGUCACGCCCUUGCAGAAGUAGUAGCUGACCCCUAGAAUCCCAGAAGCUACAGCAAUGGCAGGGAUGAUUUUCACCACUAUCUUCUUGUCAGGUUCAUGUUUUACAGCCUCAAGCUCAGCUAAUUUAGAAGCAGACAGUCUAAUGUAGAGAUCUUGUCCACCAGAGGGAAUUUCUCUAAUAUCAAUUAAAUCGUCAAACCAAAGAGCACAACCACUGCCUUCUCCUGAAAUAUUAAAGCUUGUAUAUGCAGUGCAAGAACAGCUGUGUAAGCAUUUGGCUCUGCAGUCUUGGAUAUUCAUGCUUUUAUUUACCCAAGA
rnacentral:misc_RNA from 1 species